rnacentral:rRNA from 1 species
UUAGUGGCGGACGGGUGAGUAACGCGUGGGUAACCUGCCUCAUACAGGGGGAUAACAGUUAGAAAUGACUGCUAAUACCGCAUAAGACCACAGCACCGCAUGGUGCGGGGUAAAAACUCCGGUGGUAUGAGAUGGACCCGCGUCUGAUUAGCUAGUUGGUAAGGUAACGGCUUACCAAGGCGACGAUCAGUAGCCGACCUGAGAGGGUGACCGGCCACAUUGGGACUGAGACACGGCCCAA